rnacentral:rRNA from 1 species
GAUGAACGCUGGCGGCGUGCUUAACACAUGCAAGUCGAGCGAAGCACUUAAGUUUGAUUCUUCGGAUGAAGACUUUUGUGACUGAGCGGGCGACGGGUGAGUACGCGUGGUAACCUGCCUCAUACAGGGGGAUAACAGUUAGAAAUGGCUGCUAAUACCGCAUAAGACCACAGUACUGCAUGGUACAGUGGUAAAAGGAGUGAUCCGCUUUGAGAUGGCCUCGCGUCCGAUUAGCUGGUUGGUGAGGUAACGGCCCACCAAGGCGACGAUCGGUAGCCGGACUGAGAGGUUGAACGGCCACAUUGGGACUGAGACACGGCCCAG